GCCAAGUCUUAUGCCAUUGGAAAGACACAUGUCAUACACCUGCAAUGUGAGACAAUGCUCUUCAGUGACCAUGACGGAUCAAGACAAAACAAGGACACUCUGUAACCAUGUCUCAAAAUAGUAUAGAAGAAAACAUAUUUCAAAUUAUCAAACUGAGCAAAUUUUUUUCAGUAAUGUGACUCAUUUGUAAUUCUCAUAUAUCUCACUGUCAUUUAUGGCUUUUGAUCAUAUUUAUUACUAUAUUACACCCUCUUUGACAACAAGUAUGGUACUGGUGGUCUUUGGCAAGACGUCACUGAGAACAUUGAGUUAACUUUUGGUACAAUGAAUGAAUGAAAAGUUAGGACUAAGAGGCUGGGCGUGGUGGCUUACCCAUGUAAUCCCAGCACUUUGGGAGGCUAAGGCAGGUGGGUCACAAGGUCAAGAAUUCUAAACCAGCCUGACCAACAUGGUGAAACCCCAUCUCUACUAAAAAUACAAAAAUUAGCCGGGUGUGGUGACCGGCGCCUGUCACCCCAGCUACUUGGGAGGCUGAGGCAGGAGAAUCGCUUGAACCCAGGAGGCAGAGGUUGCAGUGAGUGGAGAUCGCACCACUGCACUCAAGCCUGCGCGACAGAGCGAGACUGCGUCUCAAAAAAAAAAAAAAAGAAAAAGAAAAAGAAAAAAAGAAAAGUUAGGACUAAGAUAAAAAAUUUAAGGAUAGCCAGGCGCGGUAGCUCACGCCUGUAAUCCCAGCACUUUGGGAGGGCGAGGUGGGUGGAUCACAAGGUCAGGAGAUUGAGACCUUCCUGGCUAACACGGUGAAACCCUGUCUCUACUAAAAAAAAUAUACAAAAAAAUUAGCCGGGCGUGGUGGCAGGCAACUGUAGUCCCAGCUACUUGGGAGGCUGAGGCAGGAGAAU
rnacentral:lncRNA from 1 species